rnacentral:rRNA from 1 species
AGUGAACGCUGGCGGUAGGCCUAACACAUGCAAGUCGAACGGCAGCACAGUAAGAGCUUGCUCUUACGGGUGGCGAGUGGCGGACGGGUGAGGAAUACAUCGGAAUCUACUUUUUCGUGGGGGAUAACGUAGGGAAACUUACGCUAAUACCGCAUACGACCUACGGGUGAAAGCAGGGGAUCUUCGGACCUUGCGCGAUUGAAUGAGCCGAUGUCGGAUUAGCUAGUUGGCGGGGUAAAGGCCCACCAAGGCGACGAUCCGUAGCUGGUCUGAGAGUCUGAUCAGCCACACUGGAACUGAGACACGGUCCAGACUCCUACGGGAGGCAGCAGUGGGGAAUAUUGGACAAUGGGCGCAAGCCUGAUCCAGCCAUACCGCGUGGGUGAAGAAGGCCUUCGGGUUGUAAAGCCCUUUUGUUGGGAAAGAAAAGCAGCAGGUUAAUACCCCGCUGUUCUGACGGUACCCAAAGAAUAAGCACCGGCUAACUUCGUG